CCUACGGGAGGCAGCAGUAGGGAAUAUUGCUCAAUGGGGGAAACCCUGAAGCAGCAACGCCGCGUGGAGGAUGAAGGUUUUCGGAUUGUAAACUCCUUUUGUUAGAGAAGAUAAUGACGGUAUCUAACGAAUAAGCACCGGCUAACUCCGUGCCAGCAGCCGCGGUAAUACGGAGGGUGCAAGCGUUACUCGGAAUCACUGGGCGUAAAGAGCGCGUAGGCGGGAUAGCAAGUCAGAUGUGAAAUCCUAUGGCUUAACCAUAGAACUGCAUUUGAAACUGUUAUUCUAGAGUAUGGGAGAGGUAGGUGGAAAUCUUGGGGUAGGGGGAAAAUUCGUAGAGAUCAAGAGGGAUACUCAAUGCGAAGGCGACCUGGUAGAACAUAACUGACGCUGAUGCGGGAAAGCGUGGGGAGCAAACAGGAUUAGAUACCCGAGUAGUC
rnacentral:rRNA from 1 species